AACGAACGCUGGCGGCAGGCCUAACACAUGCAAGUCGAGCGAGGACUUCGGUCCUAGCGGCGGACGGGUGAGUAACGCGUGGGAACGUGCCCUUUGCUUCGGAAUAGCCCUGGGAAACUGGGAGUAAUACCGGAUGAGCCCUUUGGGGGAAAGAUUUAUCGGCGAAGGAUCGGCCCGCGUUGGAUUAGGUAGUUGGUGGGGUAAUGGCCUACCAAGCCGACGAUCCAUAGCUGGUUUGAGAGGAUGAUCAGCCACACUGGGACUGAGACACGGCCCAGACUCCUACGGGAGGCAGCAGUGGGGAAUCUUGGACAAUGGGGGAAACCCUGAUCGAGCCAUGCCGCGUGAGCGAUGAAGGCCUUAGGGUUGUAAAGCUCUUUCAGCUGGGAAGAUAAUGACGGUACCAGAAGAAGAAGCCCCGGCUAACUCCGUG
rnacentral:rRNA from 1 species